GUGGGGAAUUUUGGACAAUGGGCGCAAGCCUGAUCCAGCAAUGCCGCGUGCAGGAAGAAGGCCUUCGGGUUGUAAACUGCUUUUGUACGGAACGAAACGGUCCUGGCUAAUAUCCGGGGCUAAUGACGGUACCGUAAGAAUAAGCACCGGCUAACUACGUGCCAGCAGCCGCGGUAAUACGUAGGGUGCGAGUGUUAAUCGGAAUUACUGGGCGUAAAGCGUGCGCAGGCGGUGCUGUAAGACAGGCGUGAAAUCCCCGGGCUCAACCUGGGAAUUGCGCUUGUGACUGCAGUGCUGGAGUGCGGCAGAGGGGGAUGGAAUUCCGCGUGUAGCAGUGAAAUGCGUAGAUAUGCGGAGGAACACCGAUGGCGAAGGCAAUCCCCUGGGCCUGCACUGACGCUCAUGCACGAAAGCGUGGGGAGCAAACAGGAUUAGAAACCCCUGUAGUCC
rnacentral:rRNA from 1 species